CUGUUCCGCUAAGGUCACACAGUUCUUCCUCGUGACCCUGAAUCCCUCUGCUUUCAUCAAGCGCACGUGUCAAGACCUAGAAUCAAGUGGGAUUUUGUCAUUCCUAAACCUAGCAGACGAUGUCUGUGUGUCGGCGUCACAUCCAUGCCUGGGCUGUCUUGGUGCUGAGCGCAGCCACGCUGGCGCUGGCGGCGGCGGCGGUGGCCUCGGGAAGCCAUCGGCGUAGCUUCGAGCGGCCUUUGGCGACCCAUAACACCCUCGUGGGGAUUGGUUCCUCCCCCAAAAGAAGCGCAGUGCAUGUAGCUCCCACUGCCCCCCGUACACAGGAAGAGCAACAGCAGACAACGCCACCCGGCAUCCUACGAAGACCUGUUUCGGCGGAGGAGGCCGAGCCCGAGACUACCGGAGCGGCCGAGACCCCCCUGCUGCUGGCCAGCCCGAGGCCCUCAGACGAUGAGGCAGCGAAUUCGAGUCGAGCCGAAUCUGGCGCCCCGACGGAGAGGGCGUCCGCUCGAGGCCCGAGGUUCAUCGGGAAGUUCAAGGACUGGUACGAGGGGAAGGGGAAGGAGAAGAAAGAGGAAGAGGACAGAGACAUCGUCGUCAUCACGACCGGCACGGGCGGCCACGACCACCAUUAUCCCAGUCCGCACCACCACCACCAGCCCAUCGUGCAGCCCAUCAUCAUCGGGACGGGACACGGACACACGAACACCAUCACCCUGUCGUCCUCACCAAGACGCAGUACGUCACAGUCCCUCACGCAGUCGCCGUCACUUUCACGGAAACAGUCACCCAAGCAAGGCCUUCUAUUCUGGUGCACAAGACCCACGUGGCGCCGUCCUAUAUGACUGCGUACGUGACGAAAUCUCACGUACAUGCCUACGUGACGCCCUCCCAUGUGCACAUCCAGGAGCCACACACGGUUCAGCCGGUCAUCCUCGGCAUUGAGUCGCACGGUUCAGGCUCUGACUGGGGGUGGGACAUGCUGGGCCACGGGGCGCACGGCCAUGACGACGGCGGCCACGUGGUGUAUGUGAUGAGGCCGAAGCCCCCCGCCCACGAGGCCACGGGCGGCGCACACAUCGUCAUCCAAGAGCAAGAGGCCUCACCCCACAUCAUGGACAAGGGCGUCCAGAAAAUCAAGGACGCGUUCAGCGGCAUCUACAAGAUAGGAGAGGGAAUCGGCAGCAGCGUGACCUCGCUUUUCAAGAGGGAAAAGGCGGACGAGGCCGAGGUGAUCGUGAUCGAGCAGCCCCACGUCGUGACGGUGACGGCGUCCAAACCCGUCGUGACGCACACGGUGAUGGUGCAGCAUGCGACGCCCCAAAUGCCGGCCCACUUCGAUGUGCCGAAGAGGACGGUGACGCUGACGCAUCCGUAUGUCUAAGGAAGUCCAUCUCUAUCUAUACACUGUGGUUGGCAACGUAGACAACAGUGAUCGAAGGGCAUCGCCUACCGCAGUUUCAUCAUAUUAGCCUUAUGUUUGUUUACGAUUGACAACACGCCAAACUGCGCUGUUCAGUCGUUCCAGGGUAAUUCCGAUGUUUGGUAGAUCAUUAGGGCUUGAAAGAGUAGGAUAAUUAUUUAUUGUAUAGUUAUUAAGGACUACUUGUUAAGAGUUAUUUAUUUAUCCGCUUGCUUUAUUUAUUGCGAUUAUUUAUUUCUCUGUUGUAUUUAUUGCAGUUAUUUAUGUAAUUGCUUGUAUUAAUACA
rnacentral:misc_RNA from 1 species